rnacentral:pre_miRNA from 9 species
UCCCGAUUGCGUAAAAGUUAAUUCAAAUUUGUAUGGAAUUGAAACAGCUUCCCUUCGUUUGCCGCUAGGGGCGCUGUUCCAACUCCAUACAAAUUUGAGUUAGUUUUUACGCGAUCGA